CCUACGGGUGGCAGCAGUGAGGAAUAUUGGUCAAUGGACGAGAGUCUGAACCAGCCAAGUAGCGUGAAGGAUGACUGCCCUAUGGGUUGUAAACUUCUUUUAUAUGGGAAUAAAAUGUUCCACGUGUGGGAUUUUGUAUGUACCAUAUGAAUAAGUAUCGGCUAACUCCGUGCCAGCAGCCGCGGUAAUACGGAGGAUCCGAGCGUUAUCCGGAUUUAUUGGGUUUAAAGGGAGCGUAGGUGGAGUGUUAAGUCAGUUGUGAAAGUUUGCGGCUCAACCGUAAAAUUGCAGUUGAAACUGGCAGUCUUGAGUACAGUAGAGGUGGGCGGAAUUCGUGGUGUAGCGGUGAAAUGCUUAGAUAUCACGAAGAACUCCGAUUGCGAAGGCAGUUCACUGGACUGCAACUGACACUGAGGCUCGAAAGUGUGGGUAUCAAACAGGAUUAGAUACCCGAGUAGUC
rnacentral:rRNA from 1 species